rnacentral:rRNA from 1 species
GACGAACGCUGGCGGCGUGCCUAACACAUGCAAGUCGAACGGAGUUAAGACUUCGGUUUUAACUUAGUGGCGAACGGGUGAGUAACGCGUGAGAAACCUGCCUUUCAGUGGGGGACAACAGUUGGAAACGACUGCUAAUACCGCAUAACGUUAUUUGGGGGCGAUCCCCGGACUAACCAAAGAUUUAUUGCUGAAAGAUGGUCUCGCGUCUGAUUAGCUAGUUGGUGAGGUAACGGCUCACCAAGGCGACGAUCAGUAGCCGGUCUGAGAGGUUGAACGGCCACAUUGGGACUGAGAUACGGCCCAG